rnacentral:rRNA from 1 species
GUGAAAUCUCACGGCUUAACUGUGAGCGUGCGGGCGAUACGGGCAGACUUGAGUACUGCAGGGGAGACUGGAAUUCCUGGUGUAGCGGUGGAAUGCGCAGAUAUCAGGAGGAACACCGGUGGCGAAGGCGGGUCUCUGGGCAGUAACUGACGCUGAGGAGCGAAAGCGUGGGGAGCGAACAGGAUUAGAUACCCUGGUAGUCCACGCCGUAAACGGUGGGUACUAGGUGUGGGUUUCCUUCCUUGGGAUCCGUGCCGUAGCUAACGCAUUAAGUACCCCGCCUGGGGAGUACGGCCGCAAGGCUAAAACUCAAAGAAAUUGACGGGGGCCCGCACAAGCGGCGGAGCAUGUGGAUUAAUUCGAUGCAACGCGAAGAACCUUACCUGGGUUUGACAUGCACAGGACGCCGGCAGAGAUGUCGGUUCCCUUGUGGCCUGUGUGCAGGUGGUGCAUGGCUGUCGUCAGCUCGUGUCGUGAGAUGUUGGGUUAAGUCCCGCAACGAGCGCAACCCUUGUCUCAUGUUGCCAGCGGGUAAUGCCGGGGACUCGUGAGAGACUGCCGGGGUCAACUCGGAGGAAGGUGGGGAUGACGUCAAGUCAUCAUGCCCCUUAUGUCCAGGGCUUCACACAUGCUAC